CGCCAGAACCGUCCCAACGUGCUAGGGGCCAGAGACCCCUACUCAGGAAACCUCAGCCUGCACAAACGCUAGCAUUUUGCCUGCAGCUUGGGAGGAGGGGUCUCUGGAAAGCACUGAAAUCUAAGUGGUCCCUUCCAAGGCUGAGUCUAAUUGGAGAGCUAUGUUGACAGCGCCCUGGCUUCAUUUGACCAGGUUGACAGAGGCAAGCCCGGAGAAGUGCCCCAACUGGGAGAUGGGAGGAAUCCCCCAGUCAUGUUUGAAGCCUGCAAGUCCGAACAGCAGACGCCGCUCAGGGAGGAGACUGCCACUUGGAAUCCAACCACCCUCUACCCCAGCUCCCACAUUCUUGCCUUAUUGCCCGCUGUCUUGGAGAUCAAACAGCACAACGCUGCUGUCUCUUCCUUUCUCACUCCCUCCAGGGCCCCCAAUUUGCCGAGUCACUUAAAUCAUUACUGAAAGAUGUCUAGGUUCACAGACACCAAACCCUUUCAAAGAGAGGCGUGGGCUCCCAAAAGUGAAGCUCAGAAAGGCACAGAGGAAACUCUCCCAGUUCCGAAAUGUAGCCAACCCCAUGUUCGGGAAAAACGAUAAGCUGCUUUGCUGGCUCUCAGCUUCCUUCUGUCUCCUUGGGGCUUGGCUGGUCCCCAGGGUGCCACUUCUGGCUCUCUUUGGGCCUCCCACACUCUCUGCGACCUUUGGUUAUGCAAGAGGUAAGUCCUGUCCGUUCAGUCACGUGCACCUCUCUGUGCACCUUUCUGUGACGCACGCCCCUCCUCCCCCUGCACUUCCUUAACCCUCCAGCCCAAACGGACCACUCCUUCCUCUAAGUUUUAUCUUCUUUGUCCAAGAGUGCGUGUCCCUUGAAGGAGAGGAUCUGGCCCGUUCAAUUUUACAUCCAUCACAAUAUGCAACAUUGCACACCGUAGGAGCUGAACCAAUGUCUGUUUAAUGAAAAACAGAGCAUGUCUGUUGAUAUGACACGAAGUCUAAUUACAUAGUUAUUACUCUCAGCCCCCAACGAGAAACUCGUUCCUUGUUUUAUGUUGUGGAGAAAAGAUUCCUCUGCAUAAUAAAAAUACAAUUGUCUGCCUGCUGCCUUCAUGUCAAAGCAUUUCUACAUUUGUCAUUCCAUUUCAUCCUCAAAAAGCUGGCCCUUUUUUAGGGAAAGCAGAAUAGGUACAAUUGCCUCCAGUCUACAAAUGGGGACACUAAAACCCCUGGGCUCGGAGGAGAUACGAUUCUCCGUUCCUCUCACCAAAUUUCUUAUUUUUUUUUUUAAAUUUUUUUUCAACGUUUUUAUUUAUUUUUG